UGGAUAGUUCCCCACCACUGCCUCACAAUCUCCUCCGUUCCCCAUUCUCUCCACCACAACCAGCGCUCCCUGGUCAGGCCGCCCCCUCCCCUUCGUCACCACCGCCGGCGCUCCCUGGUCAGGCUGCCCUCCCCUUCGUCACCAGCGUCGCCGCUCCCUAGCAGGCCGCCCCUCCCCUUCGAAUCAGAUCACAGAAGUGGCCGAGGAGGUCCUCGAGCUCGGCAUGCUCGCGCCAGUGCUAGGCGCCGUUGGAUGCGGACGCGGAGGCUCGGGACUUGCACGCCCUACUCUACCCUGUUCCUUCCAAUCCGGCCCCGAAGUGCUCGAGGAGGCGCUCGAGGUCGGCAUGCUCACCGGCGACGCUGGGUCCCUCCAUCCUCCUGGUUCCCUCGCCAUCGCCAACAUGAGCCUCUCCACCCUCUCCCGCGCGAUCGUCCAGGUCCAGGUAAUCUCUCUCUCCCUGACCCUGCCGUAUGCUCCUCCCCGUCAAUUCGGUUAGUCGCCAGGUGCAUCGCCUCACUGAGAUAUCACCAUGAAUAUUCCUUUUCAAGACUGUCCAUAUUUUGUUCUGUUAAAGGGCUUUGUUAGAAAAUCUGAUUUAACUGAGUAUUAUUCUGCUCUAAAUUGCGGCCCCUUCUGGUUGUGAGUGGAUCCAAGAGUUCACAUGAUGCAGUAUCUUUUUGAAAGAUGAUACAUUAUCUUCAUAAAAGAAAGGAAGUUGGAGGAGUUAUUAUUGAAGAGGGAUUCAGUGGUAUGUGCUUCUCAAGAGCUAAACUGGAACAAGAAGUGCAUGACUCUCAUGCCUACACUAACUAAUCAGACUUCCCGAAGGAGAAGAAGGAGGUGCGGAAAGAGGAUGGGAGCAACAAAUCUGAAUCAAAGAGGGUGAGAAUUACUUAUCGAUGACUCGGGCAUCAACUCUUGAUUUUCGGCGGAAGAAACAGGGUCAGAACAACUGGUCUGGGCUGUUGCGCCUAGUAAAUGUCAUCAGAAAUAAAUUCCCUACCUACAAGAAUGGUACGAAUGGGAUAGUCAUCAAAUUUGCUGAUGAGCCAGAAACGCCAUGACUUAAGGAGUCUGUUGCCAAAGAGACAGCAGAUCUGCUUGAUCGGCGUCAGCGUCUUUCAGUCCGCGAGCUCGCAAUGAAAUUUGAGAAGGGCCUCAGUACUGCCACAUUAUUAUCUAAUGAGGUUAAAUGUAAACAAGUGGCUUUAUUGGAGCGAGACAUCCUUCUGAAGAAUCUAAAGAGUGUAUUGGAGUCACUGAGAGGACAAGUAGCUGGCAAAUAUAAGGAUGAAUUUGAGGAAUCAGUAUCUAUGGUUGGUUUUUCUUCUUUUGAACCAUAUUUACAACCACGUGAAGGAUUAUUGUUCCUCAGUGCAUUUUUAGAGUAUCUUUAAUGACGCUGCAAGUGUUCUAAACUAACCAAUAUGGUUUCUUAAAAGAAGUCUCCAGCUAAAUAUAUAUGCCUAAAUCAUCCCUUUGUUUGUGAGCACUUUAAUAGUUUGACACUUUCUAUAGGUGGA